CCUACGGGCGGCAGCAGUGAGGAAUAUUGGUCAAUGGGCGGAAGCCUGAACCAGCCAAGUAGCGUGCAGGAUGACGGCCCUACGGGUUGUAAACUGCUUUUAUACGGGAAUAACGCGCCUUACGUGUAGGGCUUUGCAUUUACCGUAUGAAUAAGGACCGGCUAAUUCCGUUCCAGCAGCCGCGGUAAGACGGAGGGUCCGUGCGUUAUCCUGAUUUGUUGGGUUUAAAGGGAGCGUAGGCCGCAUGUCAAGCGUGCUGUGAAAUGUCCGGGCUCAACCCGGGCCUUGCAGGGAGAACUGGCGUGCUUGGGGCAGCGGAGGGCAGGCGGAAUUCAUGGUGUAGCGGAGAAA
rnacentral:rRNA from 1 species